ensembl:lncRNA
AUGGAUUUGGUGGGGCCGCUGCCGAAGUCCGCCCGGGGGCAUGAACACAUCCUUGUCAUCGUGGAUUAUGCCACCUGCUACCCUGAGGCCAUUCCCCUCCAUAAAGCCACCACAAAGGCCAUAGCCCAGGAGCUGUUCCUCCUCUUCAGUCGGGUCGGCAUCCCCUCCCAGAUCCUGACUGACCAGGGCACCCCGUUCAUGUCCCGGAUGAUGGCAGAUGUCUGUAAACUCCUGAAGGUCCAACUGCGAGAUGCCUGGGAACAACAGCAGGCGGUACACCGGACCACCAUCGAACAUGAGCGCGAGAUGAGGGAGCGGAUCGACCGAGUUAUGCCCAUUGUCCGGGAGCACCUCGUCAAGGCGCAACAGGUGCAGCAACGACAUUACAACCGGGCGGACCAACCACGGGAGUUCCAGCGAGGAGACCACGUCCUGGUGCUGGUUCCCACAGCCACCUGCAAGUUCUUGGCCAGCUGGCAAGGUCCCUUUACAGUCACGGAAAAGGUCGGUCCCGUCACGUACCGUGUGCGGCAACCAGGUAGAAGGAAGGAGGAUCAGCUCUACCACGUCAAUUUUCUGAAGCGCUGGGUCGGGACCGGGCCCCAGCUCUCGGCCUACACCAGCUCGACUCCCGUGGUUGUUGAUAUGGAUCCCCAACUCUCUGCCGCCCAGAAGUCGGAGCUGCAACACCUGGUCAGUCAGUUUCCGGAUGUGUUCUCCCCCCAGCCUGGGCAGACCCACGUCUUGGAGCACGGCGUCCGCACACCACCGGGGACCAUCGUCCGGCAGCGGCCCUACCAUGUCCCGGAGGCUUGGCAACACCCCAUCGAGGACGAGGUACAUGAGAUGCUAAGGUUAGGGGUAAUUGAACCAUCGCACAGCCUAUGGUCCAGCCCCAUCAUCAUAGUUCCGAAGCCCGACGGCACCCUCCGCUUCUGUAAUGACUUCCGCCGCCUAAACGAAGUCUCCGAAUUUGACGGGUACCCAAUGCCCCGUGUGGACGAGUUGUUGGACCGUUUGGGAAGGGCUCGGUUCAUCUCCACUCUCGACCUUACCAAGGGCUACUGGCAGGUCCCCUUAACGGAGCAGACCAAACCCAAGACGGCCUUCUCUACCCCAAGUGGCCACUGGCAGUACCGGGUCCUUCCCUUCGGCCUACACGGGGCCCCGGCCACCUUCCAACGCUUGAUGGACGUCCUCCUUCGGCCGCAUCAGGCAUAUGCGGCGGCCUACCUCGAUGAUGUCGUCAUUCAUUCGGAGACUUGG